CUGUUUUAAAGAAAAACAAUAAUUUACCAGUAUUCUACUGAAUGAGGCUGUGGCAUUCUGGAUAAAUUGCAGGUGUUUGGUGGCCCACACCAGGAGCCCUACCAACAUUGAAUUGCAGUAAUCCAGACAUGAGGUGACAAGUGCCUGGAUUAGUACCUGUGACGUUUCCUGUGUGAGACUCCAUGUUCAAAUCAUCUCUGAGACAACAUGCCGAAGUCUGCCCUGCCAUCCUGCCAUGUGGAUUUGCACGUGGUUAAGUCUACAUGCAAGCAACAUGCACAGUUUGCUUGGCAAAUAGAACAGGUGGCCUGGACUUGGAUUAUAGUUACAUCCCACGGACAGUGGCUUCCACUUCUGCAGCCUGUCAAACCUGAGACUGGUGCGUUGUGUUGGAGGUGCCCCGAUCCACACUGGCACAAUGACUACUCCUGGGCCAGGGACAACCUGAGACCUAAGGAGACCAUAACUCACAAUGCCCUGGUCUGAUCACUCCUGACUGUCUCUCUUCCCAAUCCACCUGGUUGUGCUGCUGAUUCAGUUUCUGCUGUUCUGCAUGGGCUUUAGAACCUUGCAUGGGCAUGUAACCUCAAAGCACCUCUAAUUAGUAAUGAUGGUCUAGAUCCCCAACUUAUUAAAAUGUUAUUCAUUAUGAUCUAAAAGGCAAAACUGAUAUUAAUUCAGCAGUACUACUCUGAGAGACUUGGUGGGUUCUGGUCCUGUUCACCAGACUCCAUCUCUUCUUCUGACUGGACUCAACUUCUGAUCAGCUAUGUAAACCAAAGAACCUUUACUUGAGCUGUUGGCUUGUUGAACUGUCUGAAACCAUUGAUAAUGUGUGACCAUGCUUGUGAUCAAAUUUGAACAUCUUGAAGACCGAUCAAGACAUAAAUGGCCAUGUACUCUUAUAAUCUCCAUUUUGCACAACCAAAAAGGUACUUAGAACUGGCCACCACCCCUCAGAGCGUCGCUACGUUUCAUACUAAAUUCCUGCCUUUCUAGGGAGAUUUUCUUAAGUGGUUCCUAUUCAUUGCUUACUCUGUACAAUUUUAGGCUCAGGAGCUCUGUAAACACUGCAACGACUUCUUACGUAAAGAUGGUUUUAUAAAAUAAAUGUAAUUCUUUUAAAAUAAUUGUUGUAUUUUUGAGCUAUCAAUUAAUCCUUGGACAUUAUAUAAGGAGACUGGUUUAGACUGCAUUUACAUUAUAAAGUUAUCAAAACACUGUUUAGAAUAACAUACUGUUAAGUUAUGCAGUUGAGCUUUCCUCAUAUUACAUCACUUUGAUUGGUGCACUCCACACCUGCCAUCUGAUUGGAUUUCAU
ensembl:lncRNA